CACGCCGUAAACGAUGAGUGCUAGGUGUUGGGGGAACUCAGUGCCGCAGUUAACACAAUAAGCACUCCGCCUGGGGAGUACGACCGCAAGGUUGAAACUCAAAGGAAUUGACGGGGACCC
rnacentral:rRNA from 1 species